rnacentral:sRNA from 1 species
GAUACCAGGGUCAAAAGGUCAAAAAGCCGUUCAUGCUUGCAUGAUAAGGCUUUUGAACUUGGGACCCGCCAAACAUGAGAAAGUAGCGAUUUACGCAGUAAAUCAGCGGAUUUCGAAUGUUUGUAGAAUUGUGAGAGCUGCUUCGCAGCGGAACAAUUCGCAGGCAUC